GUAGGUGGCAAGCGUUGUCCGGAAUUAUUGGGCGUAAAGCGCGCGCAGGCGGUUCUUUAAGUCUGAUGUGAAAGCCCACGGCUCAACCGUGGAGGGUCAUUGGAAACUGGAGAACUUGAGUACAGAAGAGGAAAGCGGAAUUCCACGUGUAGCGGUGAAAUGCGUAGAGAUGUGGAGGAACACCAGUGGCGAAGGCGGCUUUCUGGUCUGUAACUGACGCUGAGGCGCGAAAGCGUGGGGAGCAAACAGGAUUAGAUACCCUGGUAGUCCACGCCGUAAACGAUGAGUGCUAAGUGGUUAGGGGGUUUCCCGCCCCCCUUAGUGCUGCAGCUAACGCAUUAAGCACUCCGCCUGGGAGUACGGCCGCAAGGCUG
rnacentral:rRNA from 1 species